GUUACGUACCGUAUUUUUAUACAUUGGGACAACCCGGAUUAACUAUGACAAUUAAGGGCCAAGACUAUUCCGGGAUUUGACGUCGGGACUUUUGACCAUUUGAUUUUAUUUUGAGACAUAAGUUGAAUAUGAAAUUGAUGGCAUUGGACACUUAGGAAAAAUUGGGACCACAAUUCAUAAAAUUGGAAUUUAAAAGUCUUGCACCAAAAGCCAUGGUGGCCGUGUGGACUUGAAAUGGUCCCACACAUUGUGUGGCCAAUUUUAAUUGGUCCAACACAUGUGUGGGCCAUAAACAAAGGGAGCUAUUUGUGGAUACAAAAAAAAAAAAAAAAGACUAAGUCAUCUUUCUCAUUUCCCACUUCUACACUUAGCGAAAAAUAACAAGACUUGGAGAGCCUCCACUCCCCCAUGGUUCUCGGCCACAACCAAGAAAAAUCAAGUCCCAUUUUUGCCUCUCUAAAAUUAUUUCUUUGGUAUAAACCCACUAUUUGGAGGUCCCUAAGUAGCGUGGAAGUAUUGUUUGGGUCAUUCAACCACUCAUUUUUCCCAUUUACAAACCCUAGCCUAUUGGUGGAUUGAAGAAUAAAGGUGAGUUCUAAUCUUGUUUUUGGAGUUAUAAAUGUUGUAUGCAUAUUGUAGUAUGCUAAAAUGGAUAAAAAUCAUGAAAUAUGGAAUGUUGAAGUUGGGUCUUGUGUUGGGUGUGUUGACCGUGUGAAGUAUAUGUGUGUGGUGUGGUAUUGGGUUGAUGAAUUAAUUGCUUGUAGCAUAUUGAUUGUCGUAGAGUGGAGAAGAGAAUAAAAAUCAUCGAUACAUGUAUAUGUGUAGUGUAGCCGUGUAUAUAGCCUCCAAAUGGUAGCAAAGAAUGAAUUAAUAUCGCUUAGCGUCGUAAUGGUUGUUGUGAUGAUUUGUAUGUUGGAAAUGAGAGUUAAAUGUCCCGAAUUGAUAUAGUAAGCGUUGCGGACUGAUUUGGAGAACUUUGUGCAUUUAAUGCAAUCCUUAUAUAUGAGAACCAUUAACAUAUGAAUAUGUGUAGUGUGAAUGAAUGUGAGUCAUAGAUUAUGCCGAAUAUCGCAUUAUUAUCGCUUAAGCGCUUUCGUGUCGUCGUUACGAAUUUUAGUUUGGAAUUGAGCAUUUAAUGACUUAAGAUUGAUGUUGAGAUUGUACGGGCUGAUUUGAGGGUUAUUGUGCGUUGAUGUAAUUUGUAUAUUUUAUGAAAAUGGUAUCGUUAUAUUGUGAAUUGUGAUACAAAACAUGAAUUGAAAGUCGGAAGUGUGCCCAGUGGGCUGCUCACGGGUAGGGGCUGUUUUCGGCCAAAAAUUUGGAGAAAUUGUGGAUUGUUGGAAAAAUUAUGUGAAUUUUUUAGAAUGUUCUUGAAUGUUGUUAGUAUGGGUUUGGGUUAAUAAUCGAAUGUACGAACGAUAUUGUGGCUUGAAAGUAAGCCAUUGAAUUGAAUAAUUGGAAAGUUGUCGAAUGGUGUAAAAGAGAGCUACUAUUAUUAUUUUGCCUUUCGAAUUGAUUAUCGAUGUUGCUAGGUUGGUUAUUGUGGUUGUUGUUGUUGAUUUUGAGCGAGUUAAAUUCUCGGGAUGGCCUAUUUAUAGGGGAAAUGCUGCCGAAUUUUCUGUAGAAUUUAAUGUUAGUUGGAAUAAAUGGCUUAAGUGCCUAUGUUUAAUAUUGGAUAUUCGUUGGCAUAUUUGUAGACCUUGGGGAGCCCGAGGCGUAGAUUGGAAUUUACUUUAUAUUGGCCAUCUUGGAGUGCGUACGAGGUACAGACGCACAGUUUGGUGAUCUACCCAUUUAGGACACCCUAUUCUGCUGUUUGGAGUGCUCUUCUCAUUUCAGAGCACACAUUUUGGUAUAUAUUCGUUCGCCAUGUAUAUAUGUAUUUGUUCAGGGGCACGGCGGGGCCCUGUCCCGCCAUAUGAUUCGGUUUGUCUGUUUAGAGGUCUGUAGACGUAUUUGUGGGUGUGUGUGCCUACUUCUGUACGGAUGUGUUUGCAUGACUCUAUUCGUUAUGGCAGCCUCGUCGGCGUGCAUUUUGUAUAUGUUUGUGGCAGCCUUGUCGGCGUGCAUUUGUAUAUGCGUUUUGGGCCGUUGUGCCAUUUGACAGCCUUGUCGGCUUUUGACAUAUUUGAUAGCCUUGCCGGCUUUUUGAUAUAUGUGCAUAUGUUCGGCGAUGUAUAUUCCGCCGCCUCUUCUGAUUCUGAUAUAA